AACAUCGANACCUUGAACGCAUAUGGCGGCCUCGGGCUCCAUCCCGGNGCCACGCCCGUCUGAGGGUCGGC
rnacentral:rRNA from 1 species